GUCUACGGCCACGCCACCCUGAACAUGCCCGAUCUCAUCUGAUCUCAGAAGCUAAGCAGGGUCGGGCCUAGUUAGUACUUGGAUGGGAAACCAUCUAGGAAGACCAGGUGCUGUAGGUG
rnacentral:rRNA from 1 species